AGAAGAGGAAAAAAAAGAAGAAAAAAAGA
rnacentral:sRNA from 1 species